UAAAGGCCGGACUGAGUAAGUAAUAUUGUAAUUUAAUUUCAGUGUUCCUAAACUAUACUUCAGUCUGGACAUGUCACUUGAGCACAGGCAACUGUUUUGAAAGAGUCUUUAUGUUUAAAUCCUUCUACUCACUUACUGAAAGGGUACUUUGAGAUGAGAAAAGUCUUUCCGAAAUCUAAGCCUGGUCUUUGGACUUAUUCUUGAGAUAGCAGCCAAAUUUCAUUUUAAUCUCAGCAGAAAAGGAAUUAAGACUGCCUGCCUCUACCAUAUAACAUUUUCUGGUGGAUGGGAAGGAUCUUUGAAUAGGGAAUCAGAGAAUUUGCAAGGAUUGAUGAAAGAUUUUCAAAGAAAAUUUUGAAUGUUAGCUACUGCAAAAGCAGAGAAGACUGUCUUGAAAUUCAGAAAUGGAAGGGACACAGCAGAUUUCUGCAUCUACACAUCUUAUGUAAAAGCUGUAAAGAACAGGCAGCUGUCAGCAAGAGUAAGGAAGACUUCUAAAAUGCGUUUUUGUUAACAGCUGGAGACCUCAAGCAAAGUAUGUAGAGCACCACCAACUUUUUCAUGGAUGUAAUUCAGCCUUAUAUCUGAAUACAAGAAUAUACCUUUCACAGAUUAACUGUAAUGAAGAUCCUGCUAGCCUUACAUGAUCCUAUGAUGAGAGAAUAAAAUCUGAAGGUAAUUGUUGUGUGUCAGAUGUUUUUUUGUUCCUCCUCAAAUACAGUCCUGACUUUUAGGGUCAUUUGUCAGAGAAGUGAUGUCAUGGUAACAAAAUAUAGAUUGCCUUCAGAUUUCCAGUAGAUUAUCAGAGUAACUAUGGAUCCAUCACAGCUGAAGGCUGAGGCACUGACCUCAAUAAAUUACCUGUCCUAACAGCUGUAACUUUUGUUGCUUACCAUUCUGCUCACUGUUUUGCCAUCUUCACUGGCUUCAUCAGUUUUGUGAGGUUUCCAUCCAGCCUGUUCA